rnacentral:rRNA from 1 species
UACGGAGGGUGCAAGCGUUGUUCGGACUUACUGGGCGUAACGGGCGUGUAGGUGGUUGACUAAGUCAGGUGUGAAAGCCCUCAGCUCAACUGAGGAAGCGCAUCUGAAACUGGUUAACUUGAGUACGGGAGAGGAGAGUGGAAUUCCUGGUGUAGAGGUGAAAUUCGUAGAUAUCAGGAGGAACAUCGGUGGCGAAGGCGACUCUCUGGACCGAUACUGACACUGAGACGCGAAAGCGUGGGGAGCCAGCAGG